AGUCAAAUUUGGUGUACUAAACAUUCAAAUUUUAUUAAUUUUUGGAUAACGAGCUAAUUUUUCUAAAUUGUGUUUGUACUUUUACACAAAAAUGUCUUGCAAAAUGAGUGUGGUGUGUGCUAUGUACGGUUGUAACAAUUAUAAACAGCAAAAAGAGUACAAAUCAUUUUUUAGAAUGCCAAAAGAUAAAAAUUUAUAUGACAAACAUCUAGAAGAUGGAAUCCUGCGUUCUUAAAGAAAAAAGCUAGUUCCAGAAGUAAGCUACCAAUAAUAAACUAGAGAAUGUAUUACAAGAAAGCUAAUACUCAACAUAGCUCAAUUGCUUCAGAUAGAAACACAAAAAUGUAAAGGAAAGGGUACAACACAACUGUGCCAGAGAAAAUGAAAGGGCAGAAGAGAGACACAAAAUUUAUUGAUUUAUUAAAUUUAAAAACCAAAGUAUACAAAGGUCAAUUAAAUAAAGAAUAAAAAAAUGA